rnacentral:rRNA from 1 species
UACGAAGGGGGCUAGCGUUGCUCGGAAUUACUGGGCAUAAAGCGCACGUAGGCGGCUUUCUAAGUCGGGGGUGAAAUCCUGGAGCUCAACUCCAGAACUGCCUCGAUACUGGAAAGCUCGAGUCCGGGAGAGGUGAGUGGAACUGCGAGUGUAGAGGUGAAAUUCGUAGAUAUUCGCAAGAACACCAGUGGCGAAGGCGGCUCACUGGCCCGGUACUGACGCUGAGGCGCGAAAGCUAGGGGAGCAAACGGG